UGCCAGACUCCUACGGGAGGCAGCAGUGGGGGAUAUUGCACAAUGGGGGGAACCCUGAUGCAGCGACGCCGCGUGGGUGAAGAAGCGCCUCGGCGCGUAAAGCCCUGUCAGCAGGGAAGAAAAUGACGGUACCUGAAGAAGAAGCCCCGGCUAACUACGUGCCAGCAGCCGCGGCAAUACGUAGGGGGCAAGCGUUAUCCGGAUUUACUGGGUGUAAAGGGAGCGUAGACGGCGAUGCAAGUCUGAAGUGAAAGGUGGGGGCCCAACCCCCGAACUGCUUUGGAAACUGUAUAGCUGGAGUGCAGGAGAGGUAAGUGGAAUUCCUAGUGUAGCGGUGAAAUGCG
rnacentral:rRNA from 1 species